AAAUUUUAAUCAUUUUAAUUUUAAUUUUGCGGGGACAAUUGAAAUUUUCUGUCCGUAGAGUAGUCAUUUUGUUUCCCGUCGAAGGAUUUCGAUCUCGCCGGCGAUCUGCCGCGAAAAUCCUACGACCGCCGUCGGACUAUGAUGAAGCCACGAUAGCGCCCAGAUCUGCAGUUGCCGAUCCAUAGUCGAAGCCGAUUUCUGGACACCGGUUUCUAGUUUCUUCUCAAUUUGGAUGCUGUAUUGAGAUUUCUAGGGUUUUUGUUCGGCUGUAAUGGCGACGAGGAGCCGUACACUGCUGUUCAGGAAAUAUAGGGAUUCUCUGAGGAGUGUCCGUGGUCCGGUGGGAUCAUCUUCGUCAUCAACGGCGACAGAGAAGAAUUCAUUGACGGGAAAGCGAUCCGGUGUAGGCCCGGUGAUUGAGAUGGCGAGUACAUCUCUCCUGAAUCCGAAUCGCUCCUAUGCUCCAGUUAGUACUGAGGAUCCUGGGAAUUCCAGAGGGGCAUUGACAGUGGGAUUGCCACCAGCUUGGGUUGAUGUCUCUGAGGAGAUUGCUGUGAACAUACAGCGUGCGAGGACAAGAAUCGUUGAGUUGGGAAAGGCUCAUGCUAAGGCGUUAAUGCCUUCUUUCGGGGAUGGUAAAGAAGAUCAACAUAAAAUUGAGUCUUUGACACAAGAGGUAACUAAUCUAUUGAGGAAAUCGGAGAAGCAACUGCAGAGGCUUUCUUCAGCUGGACCUUCUGAAGAUUCUAAUGUCCGGAAAAACGUGCAGCGAUCUCUUGCUACUGAUCUUCAAAAUCUUUCUAUGGAAUUCCGAAAGAAACAGUCAACGUAUUUGAAACGCUUGAGACAACAAAAAGAGGACGGUGUGGAUUUAGAGAUGAAUCUAAAUGGAAGCAAAUCUAGAGAAGAAGAAGACGAGUUUGACGAUAUGUUAUUCACUGAUCGUCAAAUGGCGAAGAUAAAAAAGAGUGAAGAACUCUCAGUAGAGAGGGAGAAAGAGAUCCAACAGGUUGUAGAAUCAGUGAAUGAGCUCGCUCAGAUAAUGAAGGAUCUCUCUGUACUCGUGAUAGACCAGGUAGGGUACCUGACUUUUUCGGCUUACCCGAUCUCGGCCUCAACUUCUCGGGUUUCUAUGUCGAGUCACCUGACCUUGGUCUUGUGACGGUCGGAUACCCGAGCUUCAAGCACCUACCUGUGGGGUGCGGCAAAGUGCUUGGGUACCCACAGGAUAUCUGGCCAGAAGGUGAGGGAUGUGAGACGGUUGUCGAAGUUCAGGUGAGGUGGCGAGGAGAGAGAGUGAGGGUGAGGAGGCGAGGCGGGCGGGCAGCUAGCGACAGCGAGGCGCCUAAAUGCGAGACUUGUAAGGGAUUUACUUUUACAAAUCCCUGAAUUGCCCCUCACCGCUCACCCCCUUGGAAAAAAACCCUAAACGAGUGUCGCCUCUUACCACCCCUCGCCGUGCCUCUCUCCACCCUCACCCUCGGCUCGGCACUACCCACUCUCUCCCCUACUGCCCCUCCGCUUUGGGUAAUGGACGGACGAAACCUGACUUCGAACCCAAAACUCGGGUUCCCGGAGGCCAGGAUUCUGAACUCAUACUAAUGGGGGCUCGAGUUUCUGAAUUUCGGAUAUCCACAGAAUCGGGUAUCCACGCCCCAGCCUUACAGUUUACGAAACACAGUGUUGUUAUUGUGGCAGGGGACGAUAGUAGAUAGGAUAGACUAUAACAUCCAAAAUGUUGCAAGCACGGUUGAGGACGGCCUCAAACAGCUGGAAAAGGCAGAACGAACACAAAAGC